rnacentral:rRNA from 1 species
GACGAACGCUGGCGGCGUGCCUAAUACAUGCAAGUAGAACGCUGAAGGAGGAGCUUGCUUCUCUGGAUGAGUUGCGAACGGGUGAGUAACGCGUAGGUAACCUGCCUGGUAGCGGGGGAUAACUAUUGGAAACGAUAGCUAAUACCGCAUAAUAGUAGAUGUUGCAUGACAUUUGCUUAAAAGGUGCAAUUGCAUCACUACCAGAUGGACCUGCGUUGUAUUAGCUAGUUGGUGGGGUAACGGCUCACCAAGGCGACGAUACAUAGCCGACCUGAGAGGGUGAUCGGCCACACUGGGACUGAGACACGGCCCAGACUCCUACGGGAGGCAGCAGUAGGGAAUCUUCGGCAAUAGACGGAAGGCUGACCGAGCAACGCCGCGUGAGUGAAGAAGGUUUUCGGAUCGUAAAGCUCUGUUGUAAGAGAAGAACGAGUGUGAGAGUGGAAAGUUCACACUGUGACGGUAUCUUACCAGAAAGGGACGGCUAACUACGUG